UGCGAAAUGGUGUAAAUGGUUAACACGAUAGCCUCAUGAGCUUUAACUUUAGGUUCAAUUCCUAAUUUCGCAC
rfam:Coprinopsis cinerea okayama7#130 cont3.68 mitochondrial, whole genome shotgun sequence.